CCACCUAAAGCAACUUGCUACUACAAUUCAUCUCUUGUUAGGUAUAAGAAUUAUUAGAGAGAGAGAGCAGAAGACUCUUCCUUCUUCCUUCAAACCUUCAUCCAUUUUAUUUCAAUAAACUUUUUUCUUAUUUCACCUAUUACGUAAACUUGGAAAUAUAUCUUUGUUGGAAUCCAAAUCUGAGAAAUUGAAGAUUCUUGUUUACUAACUGUAAGUCAUCUUCUUCAUGAAUUACUUUUUUCCCAUAGAUACAGAAUUAGAGAGUUGAUUUCUCAAAUGGUUCACUCAACUAUUAUUUAGUAUCUCAUAAAAUUGAAAAUGAAAGAAAGACGAUUUUCUGAGAUAAUAAUUAGUUAAGUGACAUUUGACAAUAUGAAAAUGGUACAUAAGAUGUAUAACUUUCACAAGCAUUAACAUAGCUUCAAACACUAGAUAUUGAAAGACAUGAACCUAAUUCCAUGAGUUGGUGAACUUGCAGGAAUUUUUCUGCAGAAAAUGAAUGAAAAUGAAAUUGAGGAAAUGUUAGAUCACCUAAGAAGGAUCAAAAUUGAAGGUAACCUGAGUACCUACAUGAUUUGGGAUAUUCAGGAUCUUGAAAUUGUGCUAAGAGUUUUUAGAACCUUUAUAAAGUAUCAUGUUCUUUUAC
rnacentral:lncRNA from 1 species